rnacentral:misc_RNA from 1 species
AGUGUGAUUCCCCGUCGAAGAAUGUGAGAAACGGCGUGUACGCGCGUACGGUUCUUCCGUUAACCGAUCUUUCUCCCUCUCUCUCUCUCUCUCUCUCUUCCUCCCCCUCCCUCCCUUCCUCACUCGCUCCCUCCUCUCUUUCUUUCCUUUUCUACGCUUCGCGAAAAUUUGCAACUUGUUCGAAUCCGUCGAAUUAGCCGGAUUACGAAAUUAUUUGUUUUACGCCGCGGAUAAGUCGCGGCGUUAUCGAGGCGAUAUACUCUCCCCGUGGCAAAUUAUCGUGCGUUCCUUCGACCAUCGUUGCGAUCUAUGCCGCUAUUAUUCCGUCGUCUCUCCAGAGAUUUGUCGGCCGACGGAUGAGAUUCCGUCGCACAAGGAAAAAGAGACGCUCUCGCAUCUGGAAUUUGUUGGUGCUACGGUGACACGAUGAGCGACCGAUCAUGUCUACUUGAAACGCAAAGCAUCAUGGAGGGUGUGGAAGUAACAUUUUUAUUCCAGUUUGGUCUGACGCGUGACACAGUCACUGUCGAUAGUAGUACACUGACUCUCAAGGCCCUGAAAGAUCUUGCCUGUGAUUUUAUAAACACCAAAUGUCCGGAGCAUGGCUUAAAUCAUCUUUUUGAGAGAUUACUUCUAUUCAAGCAUGACUACAAUUCUACAAAUGUUCUACAGCUCAUCACAAAUGCUACAGAAGUAGUUGAUGAGACAUUAGUGGAAAUUGUUUUGACUGCACAAGUGCCAAGCGAAUAUGUUCCCAUUCGUCCUCACGCUUUAGCAGUACAUUCCUACAAGGUCCCGACAUUUUGCGAUUUCUGUGGUGAAAUGUUGUUUGGGCUUGUUCGACAAGGUCUCAAGUGUGAAGGCUGUGGCAUGAACUACCAUAAAAGAUGUGUCAUUAAAGUGCCGAACAACUGUUCGCAAGAUGGUAGUCAGCGAAGGCGCAGCUCGGCAAUGUUAAAUGUGCCAAGAUCGCCGAGUCAGGGCUCCACUAGCAGUCUGACCAGUAUCACUGAUGAUAAUCAUAGUUCAAAUAACACGCCUAACACAAGCCAAAAUAAUAGUACAUUGGCAAUACCAAGUAUAAUGGCACCGAAACAAUCUCCCACGCCGUCAUUAGGAGGACGACCAGUCUGGGUUGAGCGAGAGCUCGCGACGCGAAUAAAAAUCCCGCACACAUUCGUAGUACACACGUAUACUCGUCCGACUGUAUGUGGACACUGUAAAAAGUUGCUGAAGGGUAUAUUUAAGCAAGGCCUACAAUGUAAAGAUUGCCAAUACAAUACGCACAAAAAGUGUAUGGAUAAAAUACCAAAAGACUGUACUGGGGAAAAUCUACGAGACAAUAUAGGUGAAUAUCCAGAUAGCGGUGUCGGCAGCGAAUUAGAAGCCAAAUGUGAUAUCAGAAAUGAGGAGGUCGAUGUUGAUAGUGACACGGAAUCGUCGCCGCCGUCGCAAGACAUGUCGCUCACAAACGAUGAGAACAAAAUACCUAACGAUUACGCAGAUCAUGUUCAGAGUAACGAUGACAUUGCUUACGACGAGAAUCAGAAGUCCCGACCGUCAAGUUGUAGUUCCACGCCGAGUAACAACAUUCCAUUGAUGCGGAUAGUACAAAGCGUAAAACACACUAAAAGACGCGGUUCUAAAGUAUUGAAAGAAGGCUGGAUGGUGCACUUUACGCAUCGCGAUCCGAUCAGAAAGAAGCAUUAUUGGCGGCUCGACACAAAGUCUAUAACGCUAUUCCAAAGUGAAACUAGUUCGAAAUAUUACAAGGAGAUACCGUUGGCCGAGAUUACAGCGAUUGAAACCGCUAAGACGCCUCGUUCAUAUCAAGAAGAGUCCACCGAGCCGGAGGAAAACAUCACCGACAUGUCGCAGCUGUAUCAGAUCUUCCCGGACGAAGUGUUAGGUUCCGGCCAAUUCGGCAUAGUCUAUGGCGGCGUUCACCGCAAGACCGGUCGCGCGGUUGCCAUCAAGGUGAUCGACAAGCUACGCUUCCCCACGAAGCAAGAAGCUCAGUUGAAGAACGAGGUGGCGAUCCUGCAGAAUCUGUCGCACAGCGGCGUAGUGAAUCUCGAGCGCAUGUUCGAGACGCCGGAGCGAAUAUUCGUAGUGAUGGAGAAGCUGAAGGGCGACAUGCUGGAAAUGAUCCUGAACUCCGAGCGAGGACGACUUAGCGAGCGAAUCACCAAGUUCCUAAUCACGCAGAUUCUGGUGGCGUUGAAGCACUUGCACAGCAAGAACAUCGUGCAUUGCGACCUGAAGCCGGAGAACGUGCUGUUAAGCAGCGACGCGGAUUUUACACAGGUGAAGCUCUGCGACUUUGGGUUUGCACGGAUAAUCGGCGAGAAGAGUUUCCGCCGCAGCGUCGUCGGCACGCCAGCAUACCUCGCGCCGGAAGUGUUGCGAAACAAAGGCUACAAUCGCUCGUUGGAUAUGUGGAGCGUCGGCGUGAUUAUCUACGUGUCAUUAAGCGGUACGUUCCCAUUCAACGAGGAGGAGGACAUCAAUGAGCAGAUCCAGAAUGCCGCCUUCAUGUAUCCGCCAACACCAUGGAAGGAGAUUUCGAGCGACGCUAUUGACUUGAUCAACAACCUUCUGCAAGUCAAGCAGAGAAAGAGAUACAGCGUGGACAAGAGUCUGCAACAUGUGUGGCUACAAGAUUAUCAAACGUGGUGCGACCUGAGGAAGCUCGAAGCGAAGGUCGGCUAUCGCUAUUUAACUCACGAAAGUGACGACGCACGCUGGAUGGCGUACAGUAGUCAAGAGACAUGACAGAACUGUUCGGCUGCUCUGAACAUCGAGACGCUACCGACUUCUCUGUCGAUUCACAAAGGCUGGGCCCGAUGCGCUCGGGCCACUCUGCGACGGUUUAUUCGUGCCUGACUCCGUAAAAAAGGCCUUUGAUGAUAAAGUUACGUCGCAAAAAAGUGUUUACAAGUGGUACAAAGACUUCAAAGAAGACCGAGAACGAGUUCAAGACGAACAGCGCUCCGGACGACCAUCAACAUCUACCGAUGAAAGCCACGUCAAGGAAAUCAAACUGUUAACAAGGAAUAUUAUUUGAGUGUUAUGCGUCGUUUGCGUGAAGCUAUUCGCCUCAAGAAGCCAGAAUUAUGGGCAGACAAUUCUUGGUUUUUGCACCACGAUAAUGCAUCGUCCCACACUGCAUUGGUUCUUCGAAAACUUUUCGCCAAAAAUUCGACCCAUAUCAUUCCACAACCACCGUAUUCGUUUGAUUUAGCACCGUGCGACUUCUGGCUGUUCAACAAACUCAAAAGACCGCUCCGGGGACACCGUUUCGACUCGAUUGAGGAGAUAAAAGCCGAAUCGAAGAAA